GGCCCCGUAGCUCAGAUGGAUAGAGCAACCGCCUCCUAAGCGGUAGGUCGCGCGUUCGACUCGCGCCGGGGUCA
rnacentral:tRNA from 1 species